AUUCGGAAUUACGAUACGAUAUUUCUUUACAGGAAAUAUUUAAAGUUUUUACUUUUAAACUUUGAAAGUAAUUCUAAAUUAUCGUUACAGCAGUACUCGAGUUAUUUGCGUUGAAAUAAUAUUUACUGUUUUGCGUCUUAUUUUGUACUUCUUAAAAAAGGGGGAUACUGAUUGCGUAAGUCAAAACAAAGCACGUGUUCGACUUGUUAAACUGUUUUCUUUGUAACUGGAUUAUUAAUUUAUUUAUUUAAUCUAAAUUAUCAUAAUCAUUUGCUAAAACUUAGUUGAUCAUUUUGACAAAUGAAUCGUCUAUCCUCAGAUAGUAUUCUCGUGUCUGGUUUGUUGAUCUACCUGUACAAGCUCAGGUACAAGUGAUUAGCGAUCUUAAUCCGUAUAUUCCUCAGGCGUUAGAACUGUAUUGGAUUAUAACAUAAAAAGCCUAAGGGUUAUUCAAUUACAUGCAUUUGAUUAUAAUUGGUAAAAAAAAAUGGCGUCGGGCUACAAAAAAGAUGAAUUUUUGAACGAUAGCGGAAGACAUUUAACGAUGGCGCAAGACAAUUUAACGAUGGCGCGAGUCAUUUGACGAUGGCGCAUGACAUUUGAACGAUGGCGGGGCGCCAUCGUUAAACAGGCCAUGGAGAUCCCUGGUCAAGUGAAAACUGUCUGACGGGCAUGAGGACCUUGCAAGGUACACACAUACCAAAUAUAGUUAUCCUAUUACUUAUAAUAAGAGAGAAUUCAACAUUAUAAAAAUUCUGAACUUUUUUUUCAAGUGGUCACUGAACCAUGAAAAUGAGGUCAAGGACAUUGGACAUGUGACUGACGGAAACUUCGUAACAUGAGGCAUCUAUAUACAAAGUAUGAAGCAUCCAGGUCUUUCACCUUCUAAAAUAUAAACCUUUUAAGAAGUUAGCUAACACCGCCGCCGUAGCCGCCGUAGCCGCCGCCGGAUCACUAUCCCUAUGUCGAGCUUUCUGCAACAAAAGUUGCAGGCUCGACAAAAAU
rnacentral:lncRNA from 1 species